GCUGUGACAAAGGUUGAAGAAGUGAAUGUGAUGGUAGUGUUGGAGCUGGGGGUGGAGGUGAUGGACCUGGUGGUGUUGGUGUUACUUGUGCUAGUAUUAGAUGGGGAUGAUAAAGAUAUGUACCGAGGAUGGGAUUGAAAUGAUGGGAGCGGUGGCAAUUUGCCUGAAAUGUUCCCGGAAAGUAUUUCCACAAUCCACUUCAUAUUGGGCCGAAGUUGAGGGAUAUGAAGGGUGCAAAGGAGCCCGAGAUGAAUCAACCGUUCCAUAUCAGAGAGUGCAUAGGACCCAUCUGCGAGC
rnacentral:misc_RNA from 1 species